GUGAAUCAUCAAAUUUUUGAACGCAAAUUGAACUCUCUGGUAUUCCGGAGAGUAUGCCUGUUUGAGGGCCAGUUUAAAUAAAAAUCGUCGUGGUUGCUGCCUUGCGUGGUGACGCACCUGAUGUGGGUCGUGGUGCCUUCGGUUAAGAGUCCUAAAAUUUUGAAUGAUUUUUUUGAACGUAACUAAAUGAUUUUACGUACGUUUGCGAUAUCAA
rnacentral:misc_RNA from 1 species